ACAUUAAAAAUCAAAUUAUUUAUAAUACAGUCCACCAAUCAUUUACAAAUAUUAAAAAUCAAAUCAAAUUAUUUACAAUACAACCACCAAUCAUUUAAUAUACAAUCAACCAACCACCAUAUGAAUACAAACAUUAAAAAUCAAAUUAAUUACAAAAUUUAUCAGAGGUUCCAAAUCCAAACUAUAAAACAUACAAAAGACUAAAACCUAAAACUCACCACCCGCAUCUUCAUUCUCAGUCUCACCCAUUCUAUUAUCAAUAUUUCGUUGAUAUAUUCAGCAAUAACCAAGUUACAUCUACACAAUCAAUCACAUUCAAGUAAUUAGUUCAAGUCACAAAAGUUCACAUUUCAAAUAUCUACACCAAAACAUUUUCAAGUCACUAAUUCACUUCACAAGUUACCAAACUAAACUUAAUUCAAAAUGAAAAGUUCACAUUUCAAGUACCUACACUUAAACAUUUUGAAGUCAUGAAUUCAUUUCUCAAGUGACCACACUUUACUAAAAUCAAAACGCAAGUUCACAUUUCAAGUACCUAAAUUCAAAAGAAAAUUCACUAAUCCAUAAUUCAAGUAACUACACUUAAACAUUUCAAGUCACUUCACAAGUUACCUAACUAAACUAAAUUCAAAAUGAAAAGUUCACAAUUCAAAUACCUAACACCUAAACAUUUUCAAGUCACUAAUUCACUUCGCAAGUUAUCAAACUAAACUUAAUUCAAAACAUAAGUCCACCUUUCAAAUAACUACACCUAAACAUUUUCGACUCACUAAUGCACUUCUCAAAUGACCACACUUAACUAAAUUCAAAACACAAGUUCACAUUUCAAGUACCUACACUUAAACAUUUUCAAGUCACUAACUCACUUCUCAAGUGACCACACUUAACUAUAUUCAAAACACAAGUCCAUCUUUCAAGUAACUACACUUAAACAUUUUCGACUCACAAAUGCACUUCUCAAGUGACCAUACUUAACUAAAUUCAAAACACAAGUUCACAUUUCAAGUACCUACACUUAAACAUUUUCAAGUCACUAACUCACUUCUCAAGUGACCACAUUUGACUAUAUUUAAAACACAAGUCCACCUUUCAAGUAACUACACUUAAAUAUUUUUGACUCACUAAUGCACUUCUCAAGUGACCACACUUAACUAUAUUCAAAACACAAGUCAACAUUUCAAGUACCUACACUUAAACAUUUCCGACUCACUAACUCACUUCUCUAGUGACCAUACUUAACUAUAUUCAAAAAACAAGUCCAUCUUUCAAGUAACUACACUUAAACAUUUUCGACUCACUAAUGCAUUUCUCAAGUGGCCACACUUAACUAAAUUCAAAACAUAAGUCCACCUUUCAAGUCACUACACUUAACCAUUUUCAAAUAAUUAAUUCACAUUGUAAGUCACUACACUUAACCAUUUUCAAAUAAUUAAUUCACAUUUCAAAUCAUUAUAUUUAACGAUUUUCAAGUAACUGCUUCACAUUUCAAAUAACUAUACUUAAUCAUUUUCAAGUCAUUACACUUAAUCAUUCAUUUCAAGUCACUAUACUUAACCACUUUCAAGUAACUAAUUCACAUUUCAAGUAAUACACUUAACUAUUUUCAAGCCACUAGUUCACAAUUUCAAGUAAUUACACUUAACUAUUUUCGUCAAGUGACUUGAGCACGUGUUUGGAGAAAAACAGAGCCAAUGAGGAAAUUAUGGACAAUGUUUAUUCCUAGUUCAUGGACACUUGCAAAUUUAGUUGUGGAUCCAGGGAAUUAUGGACAAUGUUUCUAUUCAAGUCGUUCACCUAUUGUUUCAAUUUCACUUCUGUUAUACUUUAUCAAGUACAUAACAACUAACAUGAUCACUCGCUUACUAACUCUAAACCAAUCAAUAACAGUCUGGAAAUAAUUCAAACUCACUAAUAUGGUUGGUCACAUUCCAAACAAAGAAAUUCACCUAACAAAAAACAUUCAUCCUAAGAAAUCAGUUUUACGUAACAGGACAUAGAAUAUUCCUAAUAAAAAAAAUCAUAGACCGAAGACUUUGUUAAGCUUGUCGUGUAUUGUAACAAACCGAAAUAUAAGUGAACAAAGCUAUUGCAACUCGCACUAGAGCUGGGAAGCAGUAGAACCCGAAUAUGGGCACGAAAUAUCAGGAAAAUAAUCAAGUCAUAUCAAGUAAUUUACAAGAAACAAAUAUGGAAAUACCAUCUAAUUAUCUACAGUAUUGGUGGCGGUUGGAGGAGCUGGUAGUCGGAGAGAUCAUUUGGUUGGUCGCCAUUGUUGUUGUUAUUGUGGCGGCUGACGACGGAGAGGAGGCAGCGGCUGCUGCUGCAUGUGACGAAGAGAAGAUCUGGCGUUUGGUUCGGGUUUGUCGGUGGACUGAUUGAUGGCGGCAUCUAUGGUGGAUGACGACGAGGGAAAGGUGACGGUAGCGACUGAUGGUCGUUUCAUCGGUCUUGGUCGGUUCACCGCUGUGGAUGGCGGUGGCGAUGGGUUCGUCGGGAGAUGGAGAAAGAAAGGGGUGCCGUUGGUGGUUCACCUGCGGCUAAUUUAGCCGG
rnacentral:lncRNA from 1 species